CCGACUUUGACACAUGGGGAAUAUGAGGAUUAAAAUUCCAAACGAUAUUUGGGUGGGGACACAGAGCCAAACCCUACCACCCACCUACUUAGCUGUGCAUCCUUGGGGAAGCCCCACAACCUCUCUGUGUCUUGGUUUUCUCAUCCCAUCUGUGAGGUGAGGACAAUAAUAGUGCCUACCUCAUAAGAUUGUUUCAGAAGAAAUAAUGCAUGCAAGUUGCUUAGUGCAGUGCCUAGCACAUAUUAAGUAGCUAAUAAACAUUAGCGAUUUUAAUUGUUCAUGCUUAUGCUGUGAGUGAUGUAUUCAUGUGGGUGUGUCUGAGCAUCUUCAGGGCCAUUGUCCAAGAACCCCAAUCAAAAGUGAAUUCAGGCAGUAGAGAGAUGGGUAAGGAGUUUAAAUGCUAUUCUGCAUGUUCUAAGAAGUUAACCUUGCCAUGUUGGAAUGUCAUGGGCACAUAAUAUUCUGACCAGCUGAUUUGCUUAUCUUGCCAGCCCGCAGAGUCUGAGCCAUCCUUGCUCUUUCCCACUGAGCUCUGGGCAGUUCUCUCUGUUGACCUUGGGCUGGAAGAUCUCUGAGUAAACACCUUAAAUGGAGGCUGGGAGCAGCAGCAACUGCUUGAGAGCUCUUUAUCUUUCCUUUUCCAGGCCUCAGCUAUCUGUCAUUGCUGUUUAUGUAUAUGUCUCAUCUCUAGGAGACAGCCAGGAGCCCCUUAUCGGCAAUUUCCUUGUUUUCUUGAAGUAUAGCAUCUUGUACACAAUAGGUGCUCAAUAAAUAUUUGAUGAAUGAGUGAAGUAUUCACUGAAGAUUGCAGACUAUGAACUUUACAAAUUCUGUACUGUUUGAAGUCACCAUGCACAUGGUAUUUUAUAUGUUACAAAGCACUUUCCUUCCUCAAACUGAAUUUAUUUCCUCAAUCAAUCUCAUGAUGGGGUGUAAGCUAUAGAUGGUGCUCUUCUUCUUGUUUUGCAGGGUCAGUGAUGUGAGGGUACCUGCUUCAUGGGCCACACAGUGAGUUGACACAGGAGCUAAGACUGUCUCAGCCUUCUUUGCUCAACAGCAUUCCCAACCUCUUUGUGUUGGGCCCUGGACUCUUCCCUAAGGUUCUCUCCCUCAUCCAAUGACUGUGGGCAUGUGCUGUGCCAUGGUGUGAAGCUGGGUCUUCCUUUGUGCAAGCUGGGCUGGUAUGUAGACCUUCUCCUUCCUUUUGGUGAGGAUGCACUUCUCCUGCACUUGACCUCUGUAAGGGCUCAGUGUGGCAUGUCCUUUAGGCCCUUGAGCUACCUUCUUCCUUUUCAACAGAACCUUGAUCCCCUUUUCCUGCACAGAUGUUUAUUUUCUAAGAACAACAUGGCUUUGGAGUCAAGAGGAAGGGCUGUCCCUGGGAGGGGGUAGAAAUCGGGACAGAUACCAUCAGAUGCUGUCCUAAGAGCUUCUUAUUCAGGUAAAGCUCGGAGUCAGAUGACUAUUAAAGGUAUUCCUGGUGGGGAAAAGGAUAACUUGCAGUCAGAAUGGGGGUGUUUGGAAUGGGAGGAGGCUGGUGUUUGGUGAGGGUAGGGAAAAUGCUUAAUGGGCUGGUGUUGAAUCUCAGGUCUUCUUAAGCACCAGCUGAUGGGCCCUAGUUCUCCUAGUGGAGCACCUGGGUGUGCCGAUCCUCUGUGCCUUACGUGGUGUUUCUCAUCCUGGCAAAAUGUGUUUUAGGGUCAUCGCAGGCAGUAAACCUACACUCCUUUAAAACUGGCUUUCAGCACACAUUUUCUGUACAAGAAGACCCUAAGUCAUGCUUUUAUCCUGACUUGGUGGAAGACUGACAGGUAGUAGGUGGUGAUGCUGCCACCUCAUUGGUGAUCUGUGGGUGUUGGGGAAGACCAGGGUUAGAGCAAAACAAACCUCUAGGUGAAAGAAGACCAUCAAUGGAUGUGUGUGGCCACACUAGACCAGUCUGGAAUUCCAUGGGGUGUUGGAAUUACAGAGUUUUGCAAAGCCUACCAUUCCCAACAUAUGCCUCCUGCUGGUCUAUUGACAAGAGCUGAAACCUACCAGGAGACAGGGGUUCCUUUUAGUUCAGUUACAGCCUUGUUUCUAGAAUGCCUUCCCCUUCCCUUUCAGCUUCAGUGUUCAGUGGAUGUGAACACUCCUUCCUUGAAGCCCUGAGAACUGAGAUCCUCAAUCUUGACAGCACACAGUCAUCUUUAUCUAGGGACUUUAAAAAAUGCUGAUGACCGGGUCCCUUCCCCAGAGAUUCUGACUUAAUUGGUGUAACCCGGGCACUGGAAUUUUUAAAAGCUCCCUAGGUAAUGGUAAUGUUCAGCCAGGAUUGAGAAACCCUGACCUAGAUCUUUCUGUCUAUGCUCUUUCUGCACACAUUUUAUGCCCUUGCUACUCCAGGUGAAUGAGGGUUCAGCAUCAGCUUCACCUGGGAGCUUGUUAGAAAUGCAGGCUCUCAGCCCCACCCCCAUAACAGAAUCUGUAUUUUGAAUAACACCUUAGGUGAUUCCUGGGCUCACUCAGGUCUGCACACAGGCUUCUCAGGGGUGUAAUGGGGCAGUGCUGGGGUGCAGACAGCUAUAAGAAGGGAGAGGGGAUGGUGGGAGAGGGGCUGGAAACUAUCUUCAUUUAUUUUACAAUUUUUGCUUAGUGGUCAAAGCAUUCAGUAAGCAAGCAAAAUCAGAUUAGAUUUAGCAACAGCAAAACCAACUAAACAAAAACUAGAUUUAUGACUUUAAUUAAAUGCCAUUUGCAUCCUGCAUCUCCAGAUGAAAGGAAAUGGCAAGCACCUCAGUCUUUUUCAGCUUGUGUCUUGGCCAGUGGAAUUUAAAUCACUGCUUCCUAAGCAGCCUGCUCAGGGUUGAAGCAAUGGCAUGCUCCUGAGGAAUCUAGUUAUAGGUGGUACACAAUUUCAGAAAUAAAAGUGUAUCACUUUUGGAAAUGGAGUCUUGCUCAGUUACUGAAAUAGCUAAAUGAAAUGCUCACCUUUUCUUUGUAAACUCACACAAGAGAAUAGAGAGGAGAGACAGAUCGGUUAUUGAUUUGCCCAACCCUGAUGGGAACAGAAGCAUGGGCCCUCUGGACUUAGGUUGAGGUGAACCAAACUUAGGAGGCUUUAAUUGUGGUACCCUCAUGGAGUCUUGGUAUAAACUCCAAUGAGGAAUGCUGGCAGUGGGUGGUGGAUGCCUUAAUGGAGAGCUCUAGUAAAAACCAUAAGUAGUUGAAUAAUAACUGUGCAUUACCAAAGAAGAAAAGACAUAAAAAGCCUCACCUGGAGUGGAAAGGGACAUUUUGUGGAGGUAGUGAGAAGGGAAAUAAUGUAGUUAUGAUUGGCACAAAGGAAUGAAAGAGUGAAAGGAUUGGGAAGUUUUAGAUAGAUACAAGAAAGAAAGGAAGGAGAAUAAGGAGAAAAUGAGGUAAAGGAGGAGAGGAGAGAAAAUGAAGCCACAGUGCAGGAGCAGUAGGUGUGAUGGCAGGAAGGGAUGUGCCAAGAAGGAAGCCAAACAAGCUUAAAGAGGAGAUGGGAGCAGGGAGACAGGGAGACAGAUGGAUGCUCCUGAGCCAUUUGUCCCUACUCUGAAGGGGGCAACAGCCUGUGAGCCUCCAAAGACUCCCUGGUGGGGCUUCUUCCCCUCCUCCCAGAAUCCUGUGUAGGAUGAAGCAACAAUCUUCCCUGAGAAGCAACACUAGGGCUCUUCUUUUCCAUUGCCCUGUGGCUCCUGGCAAACCAGCUAGACUUUGAAAUAGACAUCCUCUGGACCAGCUACCCAAGGAGAAAAUGCAGAGGGGACCUGGCAUGAAGGAAGAACUUUGCAAAUUCCAGUUUUAUUCCAUGCCCCCCUCACGCCUAACCAGAUUUACAAAAUGAGCUUUUAUUACAUUCCCAAAGAAGCUACUUCCCAAAGAAGCUACUUAGAGUUGCAUUAGUUGAGCAUUAAGGGAUGUGUGCAUGCUGGAAGUGGCUGGAAGGCAUUUGCCAAGAUGCUUGUUGUCUAAAUCCUCUGAAGCUUGACUGAGGUAAUGGGACAGAUAAGUUGGUUAUAUUUAAACAGCCAAAACUCUGAAAAGAUGGAAUUUGUCUGGACAUCACUGGAAAGUAAAUUGAGCUUGUUGUGAAAUCUCUGAAGAUAUGUUUUCUAAAAGGAGGGUGAGUGUUGAUGAGCAAAACGCACUGGGACGGUCAUAGCAGUUGGAACAAAAAGAGCAUGGACCCAAGAGCCAAAUUGCAGCUCUUCUACUUACUCCGGAGCCAUGUUGGGCACAGAAUCCUCCUAAUCCAUGAGGCAGGGAUGGUGAGAACUGCCUUGUAAGGCAACACACAGAGGGCCCAGUGUACUGUAUAUAGUGGGUAUCAACAAGUGUCAGUUUUCACCUCUCUCCUCCCAUCUUUUCUGGGGUUGUUCACAAGUGCUAAAGACUCCAACCAUCAGGGAUUUAAUGAGAGUGGAUCUGCUGAAGUAAAUAUUUGGAAGGUUAAUCUUUCUAAAGCACCGAUUUCUCUGUAGCACAUCCUGUACCAGAUAGUGUUCAUUCAAAAGCAUUUGGUGAGCACCUAUUAUGUACCAGUCACAGGGGAUUCAACAGUGAACAAGAAAAAAUUCAUCGUACUCUAACGGAAACCAGAAAGUAACUGUUAAUGCCCAGGAAUGGGGUCAUAGCAGUUCCCACUGUAGGGUAGGAGUAGAGAAUGGAGGCAUUGGAGAGAAUCUUUUGGUUGUUUCAAGGACUGAGAGGCACUCUUGUGUCACUUGCUCUGGGGGAAACUACUGCCAUGUUAUGACAACACACAAGCAACCUUAUGGAGUUCCUUACAGGGGAACUGAGAGCUCUUGUCAUCAACUUGCCAGUCAUGUAAGUGAGCAACUUUGAGAGUGGAUCUUCCAGCCCCAGUCAAGCCUUCAGGUGACAGCAGCCCUGACUGACAUCUUGACUGCAGUCUCAUUAGAGAGCCUCAGCCAGAAAAACCCAGUUACGCUCCUCCUGGAUUCCUGUCCAGAGACAUUAAGAAGAUAAUAAGUGUUUAUCAUUUUAUGUUGCUAAGUUUGGGCAAUUUGUCACACCUGGGGCAAUUUGUCACACCUUGAUAGAUAAUGAAUACAUUAGCCAUUAAUAGCUCUUUAAGGAUCAGAUAAGGUGGUCUCCUAGCAGGAACCCAAAAAAGGUAUACUUUUUAUGGAGGAAAAGGUUCUUGGUGAAAGGAAGUAACUAAUAUUUGCUGAGUACCAACUAUGUGGUAGGUACUGGUACCUAUGUUAUCUUAUUUAAUCCUUCCUAGCAACCAUGUAGAAUCAUGUAGAGAGCACUUGCCUAUAAAUUUGGAGGUAGUCUGCUGACAAAAUGGGAUGACAGACCAUGUAAGAAAGAUCUGUUGGUUUCACAGUUUUGCAGGAAGUUAGUUUCCUAUUGGUUGAGUCUUAUGGGGCAUAAAUAUCUCUAGGGGAAAAAACCCUGACUGGGGAUUGGUUUUGAAGACACAACCCACUAAUUGAAGAAUUACAUACCAAACCCUCUGGCUACCCCUUGGGGACAUACCCAAGAAGUACUUAACCAACAUUGCCUUCAGCGAGAUUGAAUGCAGAGACAACAUUUAAAUGCAUGAAAAAAAAAAUCAGAAAGCAAAGUAAGAAAAUAUUAAAACAGUCGAAGUGUUCCAUCAUUUAAUUAUUUGUCUAUCCUUAGCAAGAACCUCUCAUUUGCAAUGUCUGUAGCCUUGAGGAUGGGAAAUACAUGAUUCCUGCCCUCCAGGAACUGAGGGAUGAUCAGACACAUAAAAACAACGUAGGAUGUAUUAUGUGGAAAAUUCCUGUGGCGGAACCUGAGCCUGGCUUGCUCAGUCCUCCUCCUAGUGUACCUUACUAUACCCAAGAGGCUAGAUAACUAAAAAUUAGAUUUCUUAGCAUUCCUUGCAGCCAGUGUUUUUUUUUUUUGUUUUUGUUUUGUUUUUUUUUUUUUAAUUAGACUUUGUCAGUUAUAGGCAUUUAGGUAAAAUUUAGAAGGUGAGAGUGAAACAAAAGAUUUUUUCCUGCUCUUUUUGGCUAUUUUCUGAUGAAAGUAAGGUCAUGGGCAUAUGUUUUCUUGCCAUUCAGUGCUCAGCCACCAGCUUUACGGGGUUUGAGAAGCAGUAACUACAGUGGCAUCGUGAUUGUGGCUGACUGAUUCCUAGAAUACAGUGGUGGGUUCUUGAAUGCAAUAGUUUCAGUGGUGGCCUUGGAGGUAGUGGCUCUUAUGGUAGAUCAGUUUUGCGGAGUUCCAGGAGUAAUUUCCGACCCACCUCUAGAGCUCCCUCCCGCAACCCUGCCCCAAAUUUUGUAAGCCCUUAUAUCUCUCUAUUAAAUCUUUUUCUGCUUAAAAUACCUGUAGUGAUUUCUGUUUCCUAUGCUGAACUCUCAUUGAUGGAUGCCAUAAGAAAGGAACCAGAUAGUGUUACAUGAGAUUGGGGCAGGGGAGAGGAGGGGAGGGAUGGAAUAAUUAGAAAGGAAUUUUUGGAGGAGGUAACUUUUUAGCAUAAAGGAGUAAGGAUUUCAAAUAGCCCAGGAGAGAUGAGGGUUCCCUGGUGGGAGUGAUUAAAAGGGGCUGUUUCUCCUUCCCCCAACUUGAUACUUCCUCAUCACCUCCCCGCCUCCAGCUGGAUGGGUUAUGGUUUUUAUUAAAGUCUGGACUUGAAUAGU
rnacentral:lncRNA from 1 species